AAAGCUAUUCUGAAAUACAGAUAAGUUUAAAUUAUAAUGUUUGAAAAAUCAAUAUUUUAAAGCAUUUUUAUUCCAGUUCACCAUCUUUUAAGUUGUCAUUUAUUCUUAUUCCCAUUACUUCUAUCUGUAUUAACCUAGCAUCCAGUAACAAACCCAACUCUAUUUUGAUUUGUGCAACAUAAACCAAGGUAAUCACACUGUAAUUUUUCUUUUUUCUUUCUUUUAACCAAAUAAAAUAAUAAUAAUAAAAGAACAUUACAGUGUAGAGCCACCUGGCUGAUGCAAUGAGGCAAAGAAAAAAAAAUAAGCCUGGCAAAGCCAGAUAAUGCGGUGUUCCUAAAAUGCUUAGAGCGAAUGGCAAGCACUUCUCUUUCCAGAAACUGAAAUAAAUAAAUACGGCAUAUUCUCUCCACAACCACCAAAGAGGAGAAAAACGCUUUUAGUGGGGCGGUGGCACCGAUACCUUGAAUUAAUUGAGCUGAUGAUGGCUGAAACUGGCUACCACAUGCCACGGGUAGAGCUGCUCCAUUUUGGGGGCAACCUACAACAGGAUCCAUAUUGUGGGAGAAGCUAAAGCUACCAUCAGACUCUGCUCUGCCAGCACAUCAGGGAGCAGCACUCACCCGUGCACCCACUGAGUUUUGGAACCGCCCCAACGCAGCACUGGAGACCUACCAGCUCCCCGAUGCCUUUGGCCCAGUAGCCCAGUCAUCCAGGUUGGGUGGAGUUAGCGACCGGCACCCUUACACCAAGAUGCCGGGGCCCCGGCCAGGUAUUUUGUGCACCGGGGCUGGGAGGUGGCCGAGCUGCCCGCAACGCUGCCGGGCGAGCGGUGGGAGCUGAGCAGAGCGGACGGGCUCUGCUCACAGGGUCGCUAUCCCACCCUCCCGGGCCGGGCCCCUGCGGGGGAUCGGCCCGUUAACCCGGGGAUGAGGCGACACCGGCCGGUCCGUUAGGCGCAGCCCGGCACCGGCUGACAGCGCUCAGCUCGCCCGGGAGCCAAGGCAGCGGUGAGGGGCCCCGUCCCAGGCAGCCCCCCGCGCCUCACCUCGGUCUCCACCACCUCAUGUAUGUCACUAGCCAUCACACUCCUCAUGUCAACAAACCAAUGGGCAGAAAAAGUCACGCAAUAUAGACUUUCUAAUUCCUCUCACUCUUUUAAUGGAACUACGUACAAAUCAAUUGUGUGGAAGUUGUGAGCUGUUUUGGAAUUCACUUUCCAGAACAAGUUUCCCCAAAGUUCAUUGUCUGAACUUCAGAAUUUGGAUGACCCCUACCCUCAUAGCAUAUUCUCUGGUGUGCUGCCUCCCUGUUGAGUUCACAACCCUCCCAUUGACUUCAUAUAUCCAAGCAAUGCUGUGUUUUAGAGAUCACCUUUACUUAAACAGCAAAUGCAACAUUUUCACUCUGUGAGAACAAACAGUUGUAUUGCUGUGGAGACCAUGCAUGCACAGCACAGGCAAAGGGUGACAUCCUGGCCCAAUGGGAGUUUCCCCAUUGACUUCAACAGAGUGAGGAUUUCACCCAAAAUCUUUGAAUUUACUGGAAAAAAAUUUUGUGAUCAUGUUUUUAUUUUCCUAUGUGCCUAUUAUAAAUAAAGCUUCAGCUCCUUGUAGCUGAAAGUGGCUAA